AGUGAACGCUGGCGGUAGGCCUAACACAUGCAAGUCGAACGGCAGCACAGUAAGAGCUUGCUCUUACGGGUGGCGAGUGGCGGACGGGUGAGGAAUACAUCGGAAUCUACUUUUUCGUGGGGGAUAACGUAGGGAAACUUACGCUAAUACCGCAUACGACCUACGGGUGAAAGCAGGGGAUCUUCGGACCUUGCGCGAUUGAAUGAGCCGAUGUCGGAUUAGCUAGUUGGCGGGGUAAAGGCCCACCAUGGCGACGAUCCGUAGCUGGUCUGAGAGGAUGAUCAGCCACACUGGAACUGAGACACGGUCCAGACUCCUACGGGAGGCAGCAGUGGGAAUAUUGGACAAUGGGCGCAAGCCUGAUCCAGCCAUACCGCGUGGGUGAAGAAGGCCUUCGGGUUGUAAAGCCCUUUUGUUGGGAAAGAAAAGCAGCAGGUUAAUACCCCGCUGUUCUGACGGUACCCAAAGAAUAAGCACCGGCUAACUUCGUG
rnacentral:rRNA from 1 species